GCUUGAAUUCACCAGAAUUGUUAUGACGGAUGCAUCUGAAUACCCUGUAUUAUGUCUAGCAGUCAACAACAUUUGACAGACUACUGCCUAGAUCGUUGCGUAAGGAACAGCAGAGAAAAGUUCUUCACCUUAACUUUGUCACAAACCAAAGCUGAUUCUUUUUGUAUGGGACAUGGAUGACAUCUGCUGAUUUAGUUGCCAAAGUUGCUCCAAACUUCUUGUGAGAGAUGUGUAAAUACAGUGUAGAGUAUCUUAUGAAAAUUCUUGUGCAGUCUUGUAACCAUAUCGAAGAACCUCAGGUUAAAUCAAGUAAACAAUUGAUCAACAGAUUGUUAUUUGUACCAGAGCCUUGGUCUUUGCAUUGAGUUUUAAUUUUAGCUUUUGUAAGACAAAGAAUUUUGAUCUCCGCGUAUCAUUAAUUAAAUAGCCUUAAUGAUAAGUGAUGAAACAGGUCCCAAUGAAAUGCUUGGCUUAGUUUUUCUGAAUGUGUAAACAGUCAUUAUAUAGUGCUAUUGACUGGUCAUUAGCAUUUACAACUCCAGCAUUCAACUAUAGUCUCUAUCAAAUAAGAAGAUCCUCAUCACUUUUCCAUAAAAUAAAUAAUACACAUCUGA